rnacentral:lncRNA from 1 species
AUGUUGAGUCGGGAAACCAAGAAGUUGGCAAAAUCAUUCAAAGAGAUGUUCGAAACCCAUUUAACCAAACUGAAGAGUAUCGUAUCGGAAGAAGAAGAAUUGGAUGAUUUGGAAGCCAAACUUCGUGAAGUACAGGAUGCGAGAGUGGAGGACCGUAAGAAAAUGGUUCUUUCCAUGCAAGAGGCGCUUUUGGAAUUUAGUAAGAAUGAUGAUAAGAGGCAUGAAGAGGGCUUGAGUAUGUUGGCGUUGUUCAGCACUGCAUCAAAGAAAACUCGUCUUGCAAUGAGAGAAUUGUCCAGUGCAAUCACUGAGGAUAUCAAGGCAUGUGAACCAAACUUUGCCGAAGUCAUGAGCGUCUUGAACAAAGUUGAAGACAAUCUAAAGCAUCAGCAAGACUCAACCGUCGAAAAGUUGCAAUCUUGGAAGAAUUCGGAAAGUGAACGGUUGACUGCAAUCAUCGGGAGUGUUGAAAACCUAUCAUCAGUUUCGAAAGAAUCUCAGAAAAGCUUUGACUCUUGGAGUGCUGGUUUUAAUGAAGGUUUGGUCGAAAGCGACACCAAGGAAGAACAACUCGAAAAAGAGCAAGAAGAGGGCAUUCUUGAAGAAGUGAGCAACCAGAUAUCACAGUCUGAAACAGUUCUAAAUGACUAUGCGGAAUGCCAUCUAACAGCCAUCUCUGAAAUGGGCAAUAUCAUGCAAGAUCACCUUGCAAAUGCUGAAAAAUUACGUAAAGAACUAGAAGAAAACAUGCAGGCUCAAAACAACGUCCUCGAGAAAUUCGUUCAGGAGGACUUCAAGAAGGAUAUCCCCACAGGCUCUACUCCGCAGAAACGUGAAUUCGACUAUCCACAGGACCUCACUGCCACUUCUCCACAUGAGAUAAUUCUUGCCAGAUUCCGAGAGACAGUCAAUCAUGAACUUUCUUUCAAUGAUUCCUUAGCAGAGUCAAUCCAUUCUGAGGCCUCACAGGAAAUGGGAGCCUCAACAACUGCAGAGACAACCUCCUUAGUCACAUCAGUAUCUGACAGUUCUAUCAGUUCAGAUCAGAAAGAAAAUACGGCUACGGACACUAGAGAUACUGAUGUGGUUACUCUUCCAAAAUCCAAGAGAAUCAAUCAGUCAUCCAUCCCUCAAAUGACACCCAGGAAGAAAGUCCUAGGUGAAAUGAAUUAAUUGCUUGUAAUGGAUGGAAGCAGGGCGUUCUCUAAAAGAAGACGCGUGCCCUUUUUCCACAUACCCAUGAUCUCUAAAUGCCUUUCUUAUACAUAUCAAACUGAACACAGUAAUGCUUUUUAAAAAAUUUAUUUGUAGGAUUAUGUGUGCUGCCAAGUUUUAUAAAUUUUAACAGGUUUUUUAAGUGUUUAAAAUGUAUACUGUUAGGUUAACGUAAUGAUUUUGCUAUGAUAUUGAAAAAUGCAUGAUAUUUUGAGUAAUUUUGGCGUAUUGCAAUUUUCUCUGUCAUUUCAAAGAUGCAUCAAAUCUUCAUCCUAUCUUUAUCUCCCAUCUUUUUUUCCACCCUUAUCUUAUUUUAUCUCCUUUUUUCAUCAACUUGUGAGUCCAAGCGCGUACCUUAAUUUUCCUUUUUGAUUCAUGGGUCCAAUUAGUACCAUAUUUUCCCUUAAUUUAAUUUAUUCCUGUACUAACCUUCAUACUUACCCUUACUCAUCCCUGAAUUCAAUACCUAGUUGUCUACUUUAAAUUCGAAAUCUCUGUGCUACUUUGUCUCCGGUACUGCACUAAAGCGUAAAGGUCUUACUUGAAACAAAGAUCACUGUUUGAAACUUGGUUUCUGUUUAAAUGUUGCAUUGAAGUCAUUCAGAAAGGUUGACACCCCUUUUCUCUUGUAACUGAUUCUUCUUUUUUAUCACCUGUAUCAUUGAGCUUGACUUCUUCAUGUUCUUUCCCUUUCAUGCCUUUUAAUUCAUUGAUAUAGAGCAACUUUGAGCCAUUGUUAAUGGCUGACCAUCUUGGUCAUCAUAUUUUUCAUACAUUCAUUUUAGAAUGAACUGAGCGAAAUUGAUUUUUUGAGGAAACUUAGAAUCAAUUUGUCUCCGUUUCAUUUACUUUCUAUGUUUACAAGAUAUGUCGAUGUUUUAUAUUUUAUUAAAUUCAUUUGAUUUAAAAUUGUUGUUGUUUCUUUUCUGUUAAUACUUAUUUUUUGUUUACAAUAGUGAUUAUCCUGGAAAUAAAUACAGUAGAAUCCAAUAGCUUAUUCUAUUG